rnacentral:tRNA from 1 species
GGAGGUAUAGCUCAAGUGGUAGAGCAGAGCACAUGUUUAGCAUGCUCAGCAUGCUCAAGGUCCUGGGUUCAAUUCCCAGUACCUCUU